rnacentral:rRNA from 1 species
AGUGAACGCUGGCGGUAGGCCUAACACAUGCAAGUCGAACGGCAGCACAGUAAGAGCUUGCUCUUACGGGUGGCGAGUGGCGGACGGGUGAGGAAUACAUCGGAAUCUACUUUUUCGUGGGGGAUAACGUAGGGAAACUUACGCUAAUACCGCAUACGACCUACGGGUGAAAGCAGGGGAUCUUCGGACCUUGCACGAUUGAAUGAGCCGAUGUCGGAUUAGCUAGUUGGCGGGGUAAAGGCCCACCAAGGCGACGAUCCGUAGCUGGUCUGAGAGGAUGAUCAGCCACACUGGAGCUGAGACACGGUCCAGACUCCUACGGGAGGCAGCAGUGGGGAAUAUUGGACAAUGGGCGCAAGCCUGAUCCAGCCAUACCGCGUGGGUGAAGAAGGCCUUCGGGUUGUAAAGCCCUUUUGUUGGGAAAGAAAAGCAGCAGGUUAAUACCCCGCUGUUCUGACGGUACCCAAAGAAUAAGCACCGGCUAACUUCGUG